UGUUGGUUCUCCCGCAACGCUACUCUGUUUACCAGGUCAGGUCCGGAAGGAAGCAGCCAGAGCAGACGACGUGUGUGCCGGAAAUAUAUUGUGAGUA
rnacentral:SRP_RNA from 1 species